AUGGAAAAAAUGGUUGAAGAUGUUGUCCUUCAAGACAAAAUCAAUGAUGAGCUUGUGGCAUAUCGAAAGGAACAGGGGACAUUUGGAAGAGAAAUUGCCAAAAGGCAGCGGAGAAACAAAAGCUUUGAUCCAGCUCAAUGGUGGUCCAGUCAUGGGUCAGAUUCACCAAAUCUCAGAGUAUUGGCGAUGCGGAUUUUGAGUUUGACAUGCAGCUCCUCCGCUUGUGAGAGGAAUUUUAGUGUUUUUCAGCAGAUUCACACAAAGAAACACAACAGGCUGCUUUAUAAUAAAAUGAGAGACCUUGUUUUUAUCAAGUUCAACUCCAAACUCAAACAAAAGAGAAAGAUGAAAAACAGGGACCCGAUUGUGGACCACACAUUUGUAGAUGUUGUAGAAGAUGAAGAUAAUGAGUGGAUCACAUGUAUUGUGCCUCAUGAACCUGAUGAAGUUGUAGAAGUUGCAGCAUCAACAUCACAAGGAGCAGUUGGUGCAUCAAAAAGAAAGAGAGCGUCCCAAUCUCGCCCUCGGAAGAAGAAAAAACUGCUCCCUGUUUUUCGUGAAGAUGAGUUGGAGUCAGCUAGUUCUUCUUCUGAAUCGGAAGAUGAUGCCAUGCAUUCACCAUCUGGUUCAUCAAAUGAGAGUGAUUCUGAAUAA
rnacentral:rRNA from 1 species